rnacentral:rRNA from 1 species
GCCUUCCAUGAAGCUGGAAUUGCUAGUAAUGGCAGGUCAGCAUACUGCCGUGAAUACGUUCCCGGGCCUUGUACACACCGCCCGUCACACCAUGAGAGUUGGAAAUACCCGAAGCCUGUGAGCUAACUUAAAGAGGCAGCAGUCGAAGGUAGAGCCAAUGAUUGGGGUGAAGUCGUAACAAGGUAGC